rnacentral:rRNA from 1 species
AUUGAACGCUGGCGGCAGGCCUAACACAUGCAAGUCGAGCGGAGCGGCGGACGGGGGAGUAAUGCCUAGGAAUCUGCCUGGUAGCGGGGGAGAACGUCCGCAAACGGGCACUGAUACCGCAUACUAUCAGAUGAGCCUCUGUCGGAUUAGCUAGUGGGUGGGGUAAAGGCCUAGCAAGGCGACGAUCCGGAACUGGUCUGAGAGGAUGAUCAGUCACACUGGAACUGAGACACGGUCCAGACUCCUACGGGAGGCAGCAGUGGGGAAUAUUGGACAAUGGGCGAAAGCCUGAUCCAGCCAUGCCGCGUGUGUGAAGAAGGUCUUCGGAUUGUAAAGCACUUUAAGUUGGGAGGCGUUACCAACAGAAUAAGCACCGGCUAACUUCGUGCCAGCCGCCGCGGUAAUAC